GUCUACGGCCAUACCACCCUGAACACGGCCCGAUCUCAUCUGAUCUCGGAAGCUAAGCAGGGUCGGGCCUGGUUAGUACUUGGAUGGGAGAAAUAAAUUUUUACUGAGAGAUACACACAGAGCACUGCUCAGC
rnacentral:rRNA from 1 species